rnacentral:lncRNA from 10 species
UGUGCAUGUGAAGUUUUUGGAAAAGAGUUGUUGCAGAUGUCACUAAGCUGAGGAUCUCAAGAUGAGAUCAUCCCAGAUUUAGGGUGAGCCCUAAAUCCAGUGACACGUGUCCUUAGAAGAGAAACACAGAGAGAGACUUGAGACAAGAGCAACACAGAGAGAAGGCCACGUGACCGCAGAGGCAGAGGCUGGAGUGACGCUGGCCUGGCCCAAGAACUCCUGGGGCCACCAAAGGCUGACAGAGAGGGAGGUUGCGUACAUGGACGUGGACACCACAGAGGAGGGGGCUUGUCCAGAAGGGGAGUCAAAGAAGGUUCUGGGAAAGAGGCGCAGAGCGGCUCAAGGCUCCGUGAGGAAGGGAGACCAUGUCAGCAGUGGAGACCCUGGGGGCGAGUGAGCAGAGACUGGGAGCUAGAGAAAGCCAAAUCUGUGACGAAGAACAUGCCAGGUAAGACCAGGCAAGUGUGUUGGCGCCAGGUCGUGGGGCCCUCGAUGGCUAAGGAGCUGGGACUGUCUUUGGGAGGUGACCUGGAGCCACUGGAGAUCCUGGAACAGGAGCAGUGGUGGCCACAGAGCUGGCGGCCUGUGCAGGAUGGACUGGGGAAGGCAGGGAGGCCACCCCGUGCUUAGGCCUGAAGCAACCA